GACGAACGCUGGCGGCGUGCUUAACACAUGCAAGUCGAACGGUGAAGGGAUCAGCUUGCUGGUUCUGGAUGAGUGGCGAACGGGUGAGUAACACGUGAGUAACCUGCCCCCUUCUUCUGGAUAACCGCAUGAAAGUGUGGCUAAUACGGGAUAUUCUGCGCCUGCUGCAUGGUGGGUGUGGGAAAGAUAUUGUUUCGGUGGGGGAUGGGCUCGCGGCCUAUCAGCUUGUUGGUGGGGUGAUGGCCUACCAAGGCGGUGACGGGUAGCCCGCCUGAGAGGGUCGACGCUGACAGUGGAACUGGGACACGGCCCAGGGUACUACGACAGGCAGCAGUGGGGAAUAUUGCACAGUGGGCGCGAGCCUGAUGCAGCGACGCCGCGUGAGGGAUGGAGGCCUUCGGGUUGUGAACCUCGUUCGCCAGUGAAGCAGGCCUGUCCCUUGUGGGUGGGUUGACGGUAGCUGGAUAAGAAGCGCCGGCUAACUACGUG
rnacentral:rRNA from 1 species